rnacentral:rRNA from 1 species
CACAUGCAAGUCGCACGAGAACUCCCUGGCUUGCCGGGGAUAGUAAAGUGGCGCACGGGUGAGUAACACGUGAGUAAUCUGCCUUCGAAUCGGGGAUAACCCCGCGAAAGCGGGGCUAAUACCGGAUGAAGUCCGGAUGGUUUUGGCUGUUUGGAUGAAAGGUGGCCUCUACAUGUAAGCUACUGUUUGAAGAUGAGCUCGCGGACCAUUAGCUUGUUGGUGGGGUAAAGGCCUACCAAGGCAACGAUGGUUAGCUGGUCUGAGAGGAUGAUCAGUCACACUGGAACUGACACACGGUCCAGACUCCUACGGGAGGCAGCAGUGAGGAAUUUUGCGCAAUGGGGGAAACCCUGACGCAGCAACGCCGCGUGAGUGAUGAAGGCCUUCGGGUCGUAAAGCUCUGUCGAGUGGGAAGAACCUGCAUUGGAGAUAAUAUUCCGAUGCAUUGACGGUACCACUGGAGGAAGCACCGGCUAACUCCGUGCCAGCAGCCGCGGUAAUACGGAGGGUGCAAGCGUUAUUCGGAAUCAUUGGGCGUAAAGGGCACGUAGGCGGUUUGCUGGGUCGGAUGUGAAAUCCCGGGGCUUAACCCCGGAAGUGCAUUCGAAACUGGCAGACUUGAGUAUGGGAGAGGGAAGCGGAAUUCCUGGUGUAGAGGUGAAAUUCGUAGAUAUCAGGAGGAACACCGGUGGCGAAGGCGGCUUCCUGGACCAAUACUGACGCUGAGGUGCGAAGGCGUGGGGAGCAAACCAGGAUUAGAUACCCUGGUAGUCCACGCAGU